rnacentral:lncRNA from 1 species
GGUUGAGGAGGAGGAGGUGGAGGAGGAGGAGGAGGUAGUGGUGAUAAAGGAGAAGUGGAGGAUCCUAGUCGGCGGGAGUAAAGGUUCAAUGGUGGGGAGAAAGCUGAAAGGAGAAAGACGGUGAGGGGGGUAGUCCGGUGCGAGGGAGAGCGAAAGGUUAGCGACACGAAAAGGCACGAACGUUUCCGAGGCGCGCGUGACGCGAGGUUAUAGCUCGGUGAAGAAGCAACGCGGAGGCGCGCACUUGACGCUACUCUAGUGGCUAGCUUCGUUUGCCCGAGAACGACGUGACACCCGUGUGUCUGUACAAAACGCGAGUAUACACUACUAUAUACCUUUGUCAAACUUACCCUUUUAUAGAAAAGAGGGCAAAAUAAGCGCGGGAGAGAGAGAGAUAUAUAUAUCGCGUGAAAAAUAUCACGAAAAUACCAAAGAAGUUAAGAAAAAGUUAAAGCUUUUUUUGACCUCACGUGCGAGGUGAGAGAAGGGGCAAGCGAAAGAGACGAAAAGAGAGGGAGGGAUAGAGACAGGGUGAGACAGAGAUGGAUAGAUGGAUAGAUAGACGGAGAUAGAGACCCACGGCGUCAGCGCGGGAGGUCGAUUUCUGUUCGAGUCGAAACGCGCGGGCAAUACAAAAAAGUUUCCUCUUCUUCUUCUUCUUCUUCUUCUACUUCUUCUUCCUUUUUAAUCGUCUCCUUGAAGUUGUCCGGAAUAUUUUCUUGGACGAUUUGGGUGUGGCGCGGAGAAUACGAGAAUCUCUUGCCCGUCAUGAGCGCGAAAA